UACGGAGGAUGCGAGCGUUAUCCGGAUUUAUUGGGUUUAAAGGGUGCGUAGGCGGACGCUUAAGUCAGCGGUAAAAUUGCGGGGCUCAACCUCGUUGAGCCGUUGAAACUGGGUGCCUUGAGUGGGCGAGAAGUACGCGGAAUGCGUGGUGUAGCGGUGAAAUGCAUAGAUAUCACGCAGAACUCCGAUUGCGAAGGCAGCGUACCGGCGCCCAACUGACGCUGAAGCACGAAGGCGUGGGUAUCGAACAGG
rnacentral:rRNA from 1 species